UACGGGGGGGGCAAGCGUUGUUCGGAUUCAUUGGGCGUAAAGGGUGCGUAGGCGGUUUGCUAAGUUUGAUGUGAAAGCCCGGGGCUCAACCCUGGAAUUGCAUUGAAUACUGGCGGACUAGAGUACUGGAGAGGAAACUGGAAUUUACGGUGUAGCAGUGAAAUGCGUAGAGAUCGUAAGGAAGACCAGUGGCGAAGGCGAGUUUCUGGACAGUUACUGACGCUGAGGCACGAAGGCCAGGGGAGCAAACGGG
rnacentral:rRNA from 1 species